GUCCAGUGAGGUACGGCUGCGCACAGCUGAGGUGUCAGGCUCCAGUGCUUUGACAGAGUUUGUGUAAUGCUAUAUUUAGAUAGGCUGGCGUUUCAGCUUCGAUUUAGUGAUGUACAAACAAGGCAGGUGCUGUGCUGUCAUGAUGGUCUGAUGAUCUGAUGCUGCUCUGGUCUGUAUACUUUAAUUACCAGUAAAAGUGCUUACUUAACAAACAGUGGAAAACGUUUGUCUCAGUUUGUUUUAGUUUCAGUUCCCUGAAAAAUACUGAGCCAAAUUUAUAAGUGUUUUAUAAAGGUACUGUUUUCCAGAGAGCCCCAGAAUAUUCAGUCCUUUCAUAAGGUAAGGUGUGUCAGAAAUCUUAAAUUUCAUCAGUGUCCUUUUGGUUGGUCUGACAUAUCUGUAUACUGACUACUACACCAACACCGUGUGCACUUUCUUUUUUAAAUGACUAGAUCAGAGGAGCAGCUUUAUUCACUGAGACUGAACAGAACUUGUAUGUUUGCAGGAACAGCAUUUAAAGAUACCGAAUGUGCUGAAUGCUCAGAUGGAACCUUCUCAAAUGGUUCUCUUCUCUUCUGCCAACAACAUUCAAAAUGUGAAGAGCUGGGACUUAUAGAAAUAAAGGCAGGAACGCUUUCUUCUGAUGCUGAAUGUGGAACCAAAACUCCAGCUGGUCUGAUUGUUGGAAUUAUUAGUUUUGUUGUCAUAGUUGUGGCUGGAGGAGUUCCAGUUAUUGUUUGUCUAAAAUUAACAGGAAGACUGUCCAAUGUGCAGGAAGCCUCAUCGACCACUAAAUAGAAUUUGGGGAGAAGAAGAUGAACUCAAAUGAAUCUCCAGCCAGAUUGUGAGCACAGUAACUUGAAAGUUUACAUUAUAGGUCAUUUUACUAAAUUUGAAAAUAAAUACAUGUAUAUUUAUGCAAAAUAUUGAGGUACUGCCUAAUAAAAGGACAUAAUUCAAGUAA